UACGGGGGGGGCAAGCGUUGUUCGGAAUUACUGGGCGUAAAGGGCUCGUAGGUGGCCAACUAAGUCAUACGUGAAAUCCCUCGGCUUAACCGGGGAACUGCGUCUGAUACUGGAUGGCUUGAGGUUGGGAGAGGGAUGCGGAAUUCCAGGUGUAGCGGUGAAAUGCGUAGAUAUCUGGAGGAACACCGGUGGCGAAGGCGGCAUCCUGGACCAAUUCUGACACUGAGGAGCGAAAGCCAGGGGAGCAA
rnacentral:rRNA from 1 species